GUGAAUCAUCGAAUCUUUGAACGCACAUUGCGCCUGCUGGUAUUCCGGUAGGCAUGCCUGUUUGAGCGUCAGCAAAACCUCUCAGCGAUAAUUUUAUUGUUGGUUGUGGGUGGAGAGUAUGUAUGGCCUUUGGCUACUCUUCCCUUAAACUUGCUGCACGACCGCAAGCUUAUGCUAGGUUAAUGGAGUGGUGUUUACAAUAUUCCAGCUGCCAGCGAAGUGAACGGCGCUAAAUCUGAUGUUGCUUUGCUGCAACUGAAGUUUGACCUCAAAUCAGACAAGGAUACCCGCUGAACUUAA
rnacentral:misc_RNA from 1 species